rnacentral:rRNA from 1 species
CCCUUAGAGUUUGAUCCUGGCUCAGGAUCAUCGCUGACAGAAUGCUUAACACAUGCAAGUCGAUUCGAUUUACCUUCGGGUAUUGAGGAUGGCGGACGGGUGAGUAACGCGUAAGGAACUUGCCUCUUGGACUGGGACAACUGUUGGAAACGACAGCUAAUACCGGAUAUUAUGAGAUUCUCGCAUGAGAAACUUAUGAAAGCUAUAUGCGCCAAGAGAGAGCCUUGCGUUCCAUUAGCUAGUUGGUGGGGUAAUGGCCCACCAAGGCGACGAUGGAUAGCCGGCCUGAGAGGGUGAACGGCCACAAGGGGACUGAGACACGGCCCUUACUCCUACGGGAGGCAGCAGUGGGGAAUAUUGGACAAUGGGCCACAAGCCUGAUCCAGCAAUUCUGUGUGCACGAUGAAGGUCUUCGGAUUGUAAAGUGCUUUCAGUUGGGAAGAAGAAAGUGACGGUACCAACAGAAGAAGCGACGGCUAAAUACGUGCCAGCAGCCGCGGUAAUACGUAUGUCGCAAGCGUUAUCCGGAUUUAUUGGGCGUAAAGCGCGUCUAGGCGGAAAAAUAAGUCUGAUGUUAAAAUGCGGGGCUCAACUCCGUAUUGCGUUGGAAACUGUUUUUCUAGAGUACUGGAGAGGUGGGCGGAACUACAAGUGUGGAGGUGAAAUUCGUAGAUAUUUGUAGGAAUGCCGAUGGAGAAGUCAGCUCACUGGACAGAUACUGACGCUGGAGCGCGAAAGCGUGGGGAGCAAACAGGAUUAGCUACCCUGGUAGUCCACGCCGU